rnacentral:rRNA from 1 species
AACGAACGCUGGCGGCAUGCCUAACACAUGCAAGUCGAACGAAGGCUUCGGCCUUAGUGGCGCACGGGUGCGUAACGCGUGGGAAUCUGCCCUUUGGUUCGGAAUAACAGCUGGAAACGGCUGCUAAUACCGGAUGAUGACGAAAGUCCAAAGAUUUAUCGCCAGAGGAUGAGCCCGCGUUGGAUUAGGUAGUUGGUGGGGUAAAGGCCUACCAAGCCGACGAUCCAUAGCUGGUCUGAGAGGAUGAUCAGCCACACUGGGACUGAGACACGGCCCAGACUGCUACGGGAGGCAGCAGUGGGGAAUAUUGGACAAUGGGCGCAAGCCUGAUCCAGCAAUGCCGCGUGAGUGAUGAAGGCCCUAGGGUUGUAAAGCUCUUUUACCCGGGAAGAUAAUGACUGUACCGGGAGAAUAAGCCCCGGCUAACUCCGUG